GCCACCCUGAAAUCUAUCUCUUUACCUUGAAUGUUUUCUCUGAGGGACAUUUGGCCUCCCCCACUACCUGCCUAAAGAAUUUGACAUAGUAUCUCCUUCCUGGAACAGAUCUUCUAUCUGAUGGCUGUAAUAUAAUGUAAAAUAGAUGUUACAAUAGAAAAGGCACCAACAAGCCCAUCUUAUGUCUCUCUGGCCACAUUCUCUGGAUGGCCCUGCAAGGAGUUGCCAGACAAUCAUUUACAUUUAUAAGGGAAAUCUCCAUUUGUAAAGGUAUCUCCCUCUCUGUUUUGGGAAGGGGGGAGAUGGCCUCAUUUCUAGAGACUUAUCAAUGUGGAAGGUGAGGCCUUAAAUCUGCAUAAUAACCUUACUCUUGUUUACUGUGCUUUAGUGGUAAUCUCCUGUAACUGACUCCCCCCACCCCCAACAUCCUCCUUUGUCAUUGGCUGAACACGGUUUUAAGACAAGAAUUUCUGCUAUUGUGUUGAGAAACGCAGUGUCCCUGCUUUCUCCCAUGUAUACAUGUUAUUGAACUUGGUAUUAUUUUCUCCUGCUAACCUGUCUUGUUAAUUAUUUGGCCAGCCAUAAGAACCUUAAGGAAAAGGGCAGAGGGAGAUUCUCCCUCUCUCCCGACAGUUUUGGCGCCCAACGUGGGGCCACACUGGCUGGCAAGUUGCCUUCUCUGGCCGGAAGACCUGCCUUCUCCCUGGACUACUGCAGAUGAUGAGAUACGGGAACGCCUGACGAAAGCCGGCAAAAGGUAAGACUUCUUACCACAUCAGCCUCCCGGAAUCUCUAUCUGCGGAGUCCGGCGGAAGGAAGUGAUUUAAGGAAAACUUUUUCUUUUUUCUCCUAUGACAACAAUUUGGUAAAUGAUACUUUUGUAAGUAAAAUUGAAAUAUUUAUCUUUUUCUCUCUACCUGAUCCCUUGAAUUUGGAAACUCUUAGUGAGUAUUUAGUUUUCAUGGCAAUAUAGUUCUUUGCAUAAGUUCAAUAAGAAUCUGUUCUCCUUAUAACAGGACACAAUUGGAAACACUGGUUAUAUUACCAAGGUUGUGACUGGAACAUCAUAUUUGUGAUAUAACCAUACAGCUUUUGAGGAAUGAAGAUUGGACUUUAUGGAAUAAAGCCACGUGGAAAUAUUGGCCUGGUACCUUAUGUUCCAAGCAGCACUUACCAGGAUAAGUAAAGAAUGUCACUUAUCUGGCAGGCACAAGGAACCUCGAAAUAUUUUGGGGGAACCUCGGAAGAGAGGAAUUCACCCAAAUCUGUAGGUAUUGCAGGCAAAGUCUGAUGACAAAAUCCUUGGCUUGGCUUUCCUGGCCUCGAGAGGCCUUUGAAGUUCAAUGUGAGAUUCCUUAUAAAAAGUUCCAGCAAAGCAGAUUUAAAAGAGCCUAUGUGAUCAAUUGCUAUUCUUGCUGUACUUAUGUAAAUAAUUGGGCCAACUCUAUUGGAACUAGACUUAUUUUACUAACUAGUUUUAAAUUUGGCUAUCUUUGAUAAAAAUGAGGGUGAUUUUAGAGAGGAAAAUUAUAUUUCAGUAAAAACUCUAGUAUACAUUUGCAGAUAUUAGAUCCUAGUUUUGUUGUCUUUUGAGGUUUUUGUUUUAUAUCUGUUGACUGGACUGGAUCCUGAUUUCUUCUAGUCUCCUAAAAUAUCUGGCUACAGAUGUCCAAACUAACGUUUUUGAUUUUUUUUCCAUCAUUUUCAUUUGGAAUCACUGAAAACUGAACCUUCCCGUUUUCCUGAAGCCUUACAAACUGAAGCUGAUGGACUUGAUAUAAACUUAAAGAGAUGACCUGACACCAUCAGAGACAUUUUAAACUGCAAAAGAUACUUUGACACUGACAUCUAAAAAUCAUCUUAACUGGCUGUCCUCUGAACUCAGAAACUGGUUUACAAUUUGCUCCAACCAUUAACCUUGUUUUUCUUUUGUUUACAUAGAAAUGCUUCUAUUAAAUACUUGAUUGCUUGCUUCCAUAAUAUAGGCGUAACCUUGAGAGCCCA